rnacentral:lncRNA from 1 species
UUGGGGUUCCGAAAGCGGUAAAACAGGUGGUCUAACCGACACACGCGAUUACACGAAAGUAGCAAAGAUGGCUAAACUUUAUCUAAUCAAAACCCAAGGCUCCUCAGGGGGGCUCAUGGGGUAUAUAAAGGAGGAGGGAGAGAUAUUUUGCUCCACCUUGAGUAAGGAGGCCGAAAUCCAACUCUAUCUCUCACUUUCCUAACAAACUACAACUCUUUAGGAAACAGAAAAACAGAUCCGUCAGCUUGUUUUUUUCGUCACGGUCAGCACGAGUCGAAUCUCUUGAUGGGGCCAGAUCCGUUGGAAAGGUCUUGUAAUUACCUUUCCAACAAGUACUUGUUUGCUUGAUUUGAACUCGGAUGCGGCCUGGGUGAUUAAAACAAAUUCGGGUCUCCUGGCAGCUCGGACCCCAAUCGGAUUCAACUUUAAUUCGUGAUAUCUUUCUCUAGCAAGCUCCAAAUCAUGUGCUGUUUGAUUUGUUGGAAAGUACACUUGAAAUCCUUCCCUCUCAGCUGUAUGAAUGCUUGAUUCUUGUUGGCCCUCCCGUUCGCCUCCAUCGUAUCUCAUCUUAACCUUGGACUUGAAAAGCUCGACAAGAUGCCUACGUAAUAAAACGAGACAAGAUAGUAGUAGCUCCGCCUCUUCAUAAAUAUGACAAUGAAAACAACUACUACUUGAAUUCACCUGAUUAUAAAUCUUUCCAAAUAUUAUAGAAUUGAGGGUACCAAAGGUCGUAUCCAUGGUUAGCAUGUCCAUAUCAUACUCUACCCUGAGGACAGCAAGGGAUUAACACGUCGGUUUCUGGUGGGGAAUGUGUACAAACUCUCGAGAGCGUCAAAACUAAGUACUUAGCCGUGUCCCCGGCAACGGACAUUUUGAGCGACUAGAUGUGGAGCUGUAAGGAAAGUCUCACUCAUUGCAAUUUCUUAAAUAAAAUGAAUGGUUGAACAGGGUAGGAGCACUUGAUGAAUCCACUUCAAUGUGCUCUAGGAUAAUAGGAGCAUGGGUGUGUCUACCCCGUGUCCAACAGUGAUAAAAUUCUAUUUGAUUAAAAGAUAUGAUUCAAUAACAAAGCUUUUAUGCAAAUAGCUUGAACCACACUUUGCCACAUUAUGCAUAUAUUUGGUAGGCUCUGAUAUAACUCCUAGUGAAUCUUGCCAAUACAUUCAAUGUAUUGACCCUAGUGGCUGCAUCGUUUAAUGAUGCAGGAAGCUCCGAAGACGAGUAAGAUGUACGUUCUGCUUGUUUGGGUUACGGGCUUACAUUCCAACACGCUCUCACCGUGGUGUUGAUGUGCCCUUGUAUCUUUCGUUUUCCGCUGCUAAACAGUUGUUUUAUUUCCAGCUAACCCGUGAGGUUAUGCGAGUUGUAAGUACCUUUAAAUUCUGGAUGAUUCGUUGUAAUAUUGAGACCUUUGUUCUAUGAUAUUACAUCUUGAAACUGUGUGUGCUUGUGAGUCGAUCCAGGGACUAGCACUAAAGCACAGAGAUCGAACCUGUGUACGGGGGCGGUCGCUACAAGAAAACAAGAAACAAAUCACAGUAAUAUGUUCCUAUCAACUACUAGGAUGUGGCUACAAGUUGCUCAACUCUCAAGCUAAAAAUCAAGUUCUUACGAGUUCUUACCAUGCAAAACAGGAAGGUGAUGGCCAGCGGCGUAACCAACACCUCCGGAGAUUAAAUGUAUCGAUGCCUCGGUAAGAAACCAACCUAGGUGUAGAAUCGGUGGAGCUUGGAGGCUUUUGUGAGUAGCAAGGAAUAGCAAAUAAUCAAAUCAGCAAUGCAAAGUUGAAAAUAUGCUCAAUAAUGCUAGUCCUAGCUGCUGGAGUCGAUAAGAACGAAUUACAGAAAUAAUCUAAGCAGAAGAUAUGGUGUAGGACUCGACGAGGGACUCGAUGGAAGAUAUGGUGGUUGCAGAAGAUUAUGGCGUGGCGGUGGUGUGGCAAGGAGUUUGGCGGCGGAAGAUUGAUGAAGGAAACCUGUGUCACACGAAGAACAAGAAAACCAAAAGCAAGUUCGAUCUAGUAGAAAAAAUCUGAAAAAUGAGCCAAUCUAAUCCAGCAACUCAACACGAUUAAUGCAGCAAAGAUUUAACAAUGCAAAUACUAAUGUGAAAAUUGCAAGGCUCAGAUUGAUUCUAGGACAAGGUAACUAAUUCUAAUUUUAGUUUAGCUUUUUCUGGACGAUAGGUAAAAACAGAUCUAAACUACGGAUAAACUGGAAAAAUCUCAUCGAGCAACCUUAAGCUCUGAUACCACGUGAUAUGGGUGUGGGUGGCCCGAUCUUUGGAUGAGAUUGAUAACUCUCGAUGUGGGUAGGAGGUGACGUUGAUGAUCCGACUACGGCCUAGGAGGCAGCGCCUUAGCAAUCGAUACACCAAUUCCAGAGGGUUAUUGAUCACGCGGGGGCACGAUCAACCUGACCACGAAGGUCUUUGUUCCUGCAAGCAAUCGAAGAAAAGGGAAGAACAAGAUAAAUAGCGGAUGCAAUCUCAAAUUGCGAAUAUACUAUACCAAACAAAUGUCUCAACGAGACGAUAAGUUGGAGUCUUGACGAUGGUAAAACAGGUGGUCUAACCGACACACGCGAUUACACGAAACUAGUAAAGAUGGCUAAACUUUAUCUAAUCAAAACCCAAGGCUCCUUAGGGGGCUCAUGGGGUAUAUAAAGGAGGAGGGAGAUGUAUUUUCGUUCACCUUGAGUAAGGAGGCCGAAAUCCAACUCUAUCUCUAACUUUCCUAACAAACUACAACUCUUUAGGAAACAGAAAAACAGAUCUGUCAUCUUGUUUUGUCCGCCACGGUCAGCAC